rnacentral:rRNA from 1 species
AUUGAACGCUGGCGGCAUGCCUUACACAUGCAAGUCGAACGGUAACAGGUCUUCGGAUGCUGACGAGUGGCGAACGGGUGAGUAAUACAUCGGAACGUGCCCGAUCGUGGGGGAUAACGGAGCGAAAGCUUUGCUAAUACCGCAUACGAUCUACGGAUGAAAGCAGGGGACCGCAAGGCCUUGCGCGGACGGAGCGGCCGAUGGCAGAUUAAGUAGUUGGUGGGAUAAAAGCUUACCAAGCCGACGAUCUGUAGCUGGUCUGAGAGGACGACCAGCCACACUGGGACUGAAACACGGCCCAGACUCCUACGGGAGGCAGCAGUGGGGAAUUUUGGACAAUGGGCGAAAGCCUGAUCCAGCCAUGCCGCGUGCAGGAUGAAGGCCUUCGGGUUGUAAACUGCUUUUGUACGGAACGAAAAGCCUCUUUCUAAUAAAGAGAGGUCAUGACGGUACCGUAAGAAUAAGCACCGGCUAACUACGUGCCAGCCGCCGCAGUAAGAC